CCAGACUGCAUCACAAGCUCCCAACAGCCAACUUGAAAACUCAUUCAUCGAUCCCAGCAUCAAUCGACGUAUGGUUCUGAUAACGACAUGAGAUAUAGAAGGCUCUUUGAAUGCGCUGCAAAAUUAAUUUUGAAGAAUAAAUGUUAACUCUAAAAUUAUUAAAUUCUAAAUAUAUUAAUUGAGCAUAUAGUACUUACGAGUGGCUCUAGAUAUGGAUGAUCUCUCUAUCCUCCAACC
rnacentral:lncRNA from 1 species